ACGUAAUAGAUACCCGGGUAGUCCACGCCGUAAACGAUGAUGACUAGCUGUCCGGGCACUUAGUGCUUGGGUGGCGCAGCUAACGCGUUAAGUCAUCCGCCUGGGGAGUACGGCCGCAAGGUUAAAACUCAAAGAAAUUGACGGGGGCCUGCACAAGCGGUGGAGCAUGUGGUUUAAUUCGAAGCAACGCGCAGAACCUUACCAGCGUUUGACAUGGUAGGACGGUUUCCAGAGAUGGAUUCCUUCCCUUACGGGACCUACACACAGGUGCUGCAUGGCUGUCGUCAGCUCGUGUCGUGAGAU
rnacentral:rRNA from 1 species